rnacentral:rRNA from 1 species
GACGAACCGUGCGAACGUUGUUCGGAAUCACUGGGCUUAAAGGGCGCGUAGGCGGGGUGGCAAGUCUGUGGUGAAAUCCCCGGGCUCAACCCGGGAAGUGCACCCGAAACUGCAUGGCUCGAGUACCGGAGAGGUUGGUGGAAUUCUCGGUGUAGAGGUGAAAUUCGUAGAUAUCGAGAGGAACACCGGUGGCGAAGGCGGCCAACUGGACGAGUACUGACGCUGAGGAGCGAAAGCGUGGGGAGCGAACAGG